GUGACUGCCGCUGCAUUAAUUCAGACAUUUACCACCUCUCAGCUGCACUGAACAACAGCUGCCUGGCUGGUUCCUGUGCUGCCCUCCUCUUCCAAAUCUUUGGCCCUUUUUACCUUGAAUCGGAUGUGACUUUCCUCAGAACUCUGGAGCUUCCCGUUGCCUGCCAGGUAAUUAUUUAUAAUGUUGUUGAUUCAGAAUGAUCCUUUAAACUUUGCUUCUACGAAGGCACACUCAAAACUUUUCUGUCGAAUGGGCCAGUGAUGGUAAUCGCUCGACACAAGCAAGUCUAACGACACCUGCGUGUAAAGGCAAAAUCAUGGAUUCAUGUUCCCACAACUACAGGUGCUUCUGUGUCUUGGAACGUGCAUACAGAUUAACAGGCAGUGGAGUGCACCCCAACUUGAACAGAACCAUGCUGGGCCUGAAUGUCCCCUCCCAGCCCUUCCUGCUCCAAGAGGUGGCUGAGGUCCCCUCUUCUUUCACAGGAAGUGAUUCAGCACCUGGAGGUCUCCGCUUUGGGUCCAAGAGCACAGAGCACGGCUUCAGGGGGGUGGACGGACAGAGGCUGCGGCGAGCGGCAGAGAGCACAGCCCAGAGACUCAGCACCUCCUUCAGACAGAAAGAGGCCAGUUAGGGGCUGGCCGGUCAGCAAGGGAGCCAUGUACAAGAGGGGCUGAGAACUCCCCAUCCUCCCGUGGGGCCUGUGAGGCUGGAAGUACCUGGCAGUCACCUGGCAAGAUUCUGUUGAGUGCAGAACGACAAACAGAACACCUCUCUUUGCAGUCAACUCUCCAAAGGUUUUGGGUUAUGUCCACAGUUGAUCACUCUAUCUUUGUGCAGUGUGAGUGCUCUCCUAUUUUUUUUUUGUUUGUUUGUUUUUUUGUCCAGUCCAAAGACUUCUAUGUAGAAAGAGAAAAAUACCUUAGAUUAGCCUUUGGAUUUUAAGAAUAUUAGUGAUUAAAAGUAGAGCUCACAUUUCUUUAGGGCUAACUGGGAACAUCUCUGUGCAAAGCCCUUUACUUUGAAACUGUCAUAACUUUUAUUUUUAAAUUACAUCAUUUAAGUAUCACACCCACAGUCUGAGCUAGGUACUACUCUUGCCAUCUCCAGUUUACUGCUGGGAAUUUGAGGGCCCAAAGAAGCUCUGUACCAGGCACCAGGCCACGCAGUACGUGGCAGAGUUGGAUUUUGAAUCCAGGAUGGUCAGACCCUGAAGGCAAUGUGUGCAACCACUGUGCAAUCGGAGCGACCUUGGAUAUGUGGCAGAGUCGUACCUCAAUUUACAGAUGUGGUGAUAGGCGAGAGGAGGCAGGGCAAUUUUUAACCUAUGUAAUGUCCAUUCAUCCCUCCAAAGUGCCCCGAGAGGCAGGUUUUAGCGUCACACACAAGUUGCAGAUGGGGAAACUGCGAUGCAGAACAGAUCACCUGCCCAAGGACACAGGGCAGAUAAGCAGAAGUGUGGGGACUGAGUCACCUCUUCUGGAUCCGUUGCCCACACUCCUUCUACCACUCACGCUGCGGGGAUUGGCAGGGCACGACAGGCUUGGUCUACCCUAUCCCCCUGUCCCCCACCUCCGAAUCCCAAGCACCCUGUACAUGGUGGGCUCACAAUGAAUGUUUGCUGAAGAAAAGCCCCUCAGACCUGCCAUGCACAGCGGCAGCAUCAACCCUCCCAGCCCCCACACUCCACCAAAUGCAGCCUUUAGAAAUUCAAGCUCUCAUGCCAUCUCCCCAAGAAGGACCUUUGGUGGACGUGUCUCACCCGCGGACCCGCUCCUCUGAGUAUAGUUACCUUCUACACCCAGAUUCCAAGUCAGGGAUGGCACAAUAUUAGCUCCUGGCAAGGACCAAAGGCCACCCCAGCCAAAAGGUAGCGGGGGGCUCUGGGUGGUGAUUCAGGAAAUCUGUCUGGGUUAAACUCACCUAUUGACACAAGUAGAUCUGGUGUCAUCCCCAGCCUUAAUUUCCCCAUUUCCAGAUGGCAGACGUUGUCCUUUGGGUUCUCCUGAGGCCUGCAUGCCGCCCCCAGGACCCAAUGCCUGGGGUCAGGGAGAGGGGAGGCCCCUGAGUUGCACUGUCUAUAGAGACCCAUGGUGCAGGUUGUGUGUGUGGGGGGCAGUCCCCCCCUUCCCUCACUGCUCCAGGCUGCUGCCUGAUUGCCCCUGAAAAGAAGGCUUACUUCUGCCUGGAAAGCCCUGAGGCAGCGGAUUUCAGUGUGAGUAAGCGAUUCCAGGGGCAUUCAGGGGAAUGCGGUCUGGUCUGGAGUGCACAAAGCCGCCCCCAGUUAGAUUCAAAAGGAGGAGGAAGCCUGGGCUUUCUCAGAGGCCAGGCAUGCAGCCCCAAAAUUAAAUCCCUGCAAAGGAAUGUCUUCAUCUUUAUGGAUGCAGGAAGAGUCCAGUGUUUCAUAAAAGGAAUGAGGGACAGCAAAGCCAGCUUCAGGAAAUUCCCUUCAUCCUGGAUGGAGAUCUAAACCGCUCAGAUCCCAGGCCCCUCCUGCCUCCAGCCCUCACCCCAGGGCAACCUCUAGGUGAACUUGCUUGAUUUGAAGGCGGGUGCACAAGCCCCUCCCAUUUCUGCCACUGUGGAUACUCCAGGCUGGGACAGAACAGAGUAGGGUGCUGCGUUGGGGCUUUACCGCUCCUACAGUGCUUGCACAGUACUUUGCUUAAUUCAGUCUUUACGGAUGGGGAAACCAAAGCUCACAGAGGUCUCUGUCCUUGGCCUAGAUCACACAGCCAGGCCUCUGGUGAGAGAGGCCUCUGCAAGGCAGCCUCCCUUGCCGCCAGGGCCAUGCCCACCCCUAGACUGGGCACAGCAUCUAUUGCCACACACACCUCCCUCAAACAUAAGCUGGGUGUUUGUCUGCCAUAAAUAGGAGAAAGUGUGCUUCUGGAGGGCAGGGCCUCCAACUUUCAUGUAUUAGCUCUUAGCUCAAGGCCAACCACGGGGAAGGCUAAGCGUUAAUAUCACUGAAUGAAUCCUGUGCUUUCCUCGCCUCACAAGGCCAGGGAUCCUGAUAACCAGAAAAAGAAUCACAAUGACAGCAGACAAUGUUUGCAUCUUGCUUAUCAGCAUUUUGGAGCCAGAGGCACGUUUGAUUCCUGCAACAACCCCAAGCCCCAGUCAGUAUAUCUAUUAAGUGGCCAGAAGACCAGAGCUCACAUAAACCACAGGGCUUGCUUGGGCUCCUGGGUGAAAAAGGUGGAGCAAAACUGCUAUCCAGCUCCUCCAGUUCCAAAUCCUGAAUGAUCAUAUACAAUUAUUAUUUUUUUUGAAUGCCCUCACUCACAACAUAUAGAAGUACCCUGGCCAGGGACUGAAUCUGAGCUGCAGCUGCAACAUAUGCCACAGCUAUGGCAACACCAGAUCCUUUUAAUCCACUGUGCCAGGCUGGGGAUUGAACCCUUACCCUCCCAGAGACA